UAUGUUUUGGGGUCAUGCCAAUUCGAAUCGCGGGUUUAGGGACAAAAUGUCGAAAAAAAAACGUCGAAAGCAGUAAUUUAUCAACACCUUUUUCAGAUUCUGGUCGAUACGUUGGUGAAAUACGUUUGGCACAUUGUAAUUAUUUACUCUUUCGGAAAAGAAUCAUUCUUUCGAGUUGUGUCCUUCUUCACGGCUUCUUCGAGUACCUACAAAUAGAAAAAUAAAGGCCUUCUUUUGAGAAGGACAUGAACUACAUCGAGUCAACUGUCAGAAACGCUGUUUCUGAACGUCACGAAUGGAGAACGACCGCGCCAUCUGUUUCUGAGCAGCAAAAAGUAAUUGAUGGAUCACCCCCUGUUCGUCGAUGAGAUAAACGCCCAAAAGUGUGAGAAAGGGAUCUACCAAUAAGGGUGCAAUGGCGUUGUACCUUCUUCCGUCGGACAAUAUAAGUAGAUAACUCAAUACAGUACUAAAACAACGGCCUAACUGACAAAUGUAAA